AUGGGUCUAAAAUACUGAGUGAGGCUACUAUGCUAUCGGAAGCACGGAGCCUUCCGUGCUUCCAGCUCGUUUUCGAUGUUGCGACUUUCGAAUCGUCGAUCGGCUCCGUUAAACUUGAUCUAGAGUGUUUGGAGUAUCUAGAAAAUAAAUUUUAUUAUUUUUCGAUAUCAUUUGCCUAGUGAUCGAAUGGGCUCAAAAUCAACAAAUUUCAAUGGCCGUAGUGAGCCGUUUGCAAGUUUAACGGUGUAGAAAUAUCUAAAUCACGUGAAAUUUUGAUAGAAAAUUCUUUAUACUAUAUAAAACAAGAUCUAUAUCUUUGAUUUAAAAUUUUAAUGUCAUAUUAUUACAUUUUGUAAGAUUUUUAUUUUCAGCCGUUGAUUUUGAGCCCCUUCGUUCACUAGGCAAAUGAUAUCGUAAAAUCAUAAAAUUUAUUUUCUAGGUACUUCAAAUACUCUAGAUCAAGUUUAACGGAGCCGAUCGACGAAUCGAAAGUCGCAACAUCGAAAACGAGCUGGAAGCACGGAAGGCUCCGUGCUUCCGAUAGCAUAGUAGCCUCACUCCUAAAAUACGCUUAG
rnacentral:lncRNA from 1 species